GCAAAUCUUCACUGACAUUAAAUUCAAAACCUUCUCGAGUAGUCAGUCCAGUGGAUUGAUCCAGUUUUCGAAGUUUACCAUCUGAGCAAAGACAUAGGGAUUUGACACGAGUUAAAUUGGCAGCUUUGAAAUAUAAGUUUCAGAUAUUCAUUUCCAUCGUGCAAGGGAGUGGAAAAAAAAGGUAAAAAGAUUGGAAUAUUUAUGUCACAUAUUCAACUAAUACUACAACUUGAUAAACAAUAACAGUUUCCGUCUUUACCGGUAAUGACCACUUUACAAGCUCCCAUAGCUUUAGCAACAAGUAACGAUACGAGGCCAAUAGGUCCAGCACCCA